GAUGAACGCUGGCGGCGUGCCUAAUACAUGCAAGUCGAGCGAACAGACGAGGAGCUUGCUCCUUUGACGUUAGCGGCGGACGGGUGAGUAACACGUAGGUAACCUACCUAUAAGACUGGGAUAACUUCGGGAAACCGGAGCUAAUACCGGAUAAUAUUUCGAACCGCAUGGUUCGAUAGUGAAAGAUGGCUUUGCUAUCACUUAUAGAUGGACCUGCGCCGGAUUAGCUAGUUGGUAAGGUAACGGCUUACCAAGGCAACGAUACGUAGCCGACCUGAGAGGAUGAUCAGCCACACUGGAACUGAGACACGGUCCAGACUCCUACGGGAGGCAGCAGUGGGGAAUAUUGGACAAUGGGCGCAAGCCUGAUCCAGCCAUACCGCGUGGGUGAAGAAGGCCUUCGGGUUGUAAAGCCCUUUUGUUGGGAAAGAAAAGCAGCAGGUUAAUACCCCGCUGUUCUGACGGUACCCAAAGAAUAAGCACCGGCUAACUUCGUG
rnacentral:rRNA from 1 species